GGUAAGGUGGCUGAGUAGGCGGUAGAUUGUAAAUCUACUUACGAGACGAUUUCUCCCUUUCCA
rnacentral:tRNA from 1 species